GAAGCUGAUAUUUUAUUUUUUUUUCUUUUAAAUGAUUGUAUAAUGACAGAUUUCCAUUUAAAAUUCCUUUAGCUGUGUAAUGAGGUGUCACGUACUAUGUACACUAUAUAAAAAGUGAAGGUUUUGGAAUUGUUUGAAAAUGAGUGGUAUCUUACGAUUAAUAUAAUAAAAUAAAUAAAUAAAAAACAAACAAAAAAAACAACACGCUUGACUUAAGGACACGGUCUUGUUCAUAAAACAGUAGUUUUUUUUCAUGAAAAACUUAUUUCAUGAUGUUAUGUAGCCCUGUCUAUCUUUACUGUUUUCAGUGAUGUGGUAGGACACAUAUAUUGUAUAAAUGCUGUAAACUUUGAGAAAAUUUAUUUCUGCUUCCUUUUCUAUUAAAAUUUAAAAAAUGUUAUCAAACAAUUUUGAGAAAAUUUGGCACACAGAUACAGAUAUAUUUAUCUCCCACUUCAGAGUUUUAAAAUUUUGAUAUAAAAGAGUUGAUGUUUAAAAAAAUGAAAAAAAUGUUUGUAGUUCUUAACAAUCCUCAUUAUAUAUGCAUGAAAAAAUAAGAAAAUGUAAGAUCAAUAGAUUGAGCAAUAUAUAUAUAUAUAUAUAUAUUUUUUUUUUUUUUUCUAGAGGUGAAAUAUUUAUUGAUGGAAGGAAGGAAAACAAAGACUGCUAAGGAGAAGCCAUGAACAUUUUCCCUCUGUGCUAUAGUGAUA
rnacentral:lncRNA from 1 species